AGUGAACGCUGGCGGUAGGCCUAACACAUGCAAGUCGAACGGCAGCACAGGAGAGCUUGCUCUCUGGGUGGCGAGUGGCGGACGGGUGAGGAAUACAUCGGAAUCUACUCUGUCGUGGGGGAUAACGUAGGGAAACUUACGCUAAUACCGCAUACGACCUACGGGUGAAAGCAGGGGACCUUCGGGCCUUGCGCGAUUGAAUGAGCCGAUGUCGGAUGAGCUAGUUGGCGGGGUAAAGGCCGACCAAGGCGACGAUCAGAAGCUGGUCGGCGAGGAUGAUCAGACACACGGGAGCUGAGACACGCUCCAGACUCCUACAGGGGGCAGCAGUGGGGAAUAUUGGACAAUGGGCGCAAGCCUGAUCCAGCCAUACCGCGUGGGUGAAGCAGGCCUUCGGGUUGUAAAGCCCUUUUGUUGGGAAAGAAAUCCAGCUGGCUAAUACCCGGUUGGGAUGACGGUACCCAAAGAAUAAGCACCGGCUAACUUCGUGCCAGCCGCCGCCGUAA
rnacentral:rRNA from 1 species